CCCUUAGAUGUUCUGGGCCGCACGCGCGCUACACUGAUUCAUUCAUCAAGUCUAUAACCUUGGUAGAAAUGCUUGGGUAAUCUUUGAAACUGAAUCGUGCUGGGGAUUGGAGCUUGUAAUUAUUCUCCGUGAACGAGGAAUUCCUAGUAAACGCGAGUCAUCAGCUCGCAUUGAAUACGUCCCUGCCCUUUGUACACACCGCCCGUCGCUUCUACCGAUGAAUGAUCCGGUGAACACUCUGGACUUGUUGUCUGUCGGAGCAAUCCAAAGACGAUAGGGAAGUUGUGUAAACCUUAUCAUUUAGAGGAAGAAGAAGUCGUAACA
rnacentral:rRNA from 1 species